rnacentral:tRNA from 1 species
GUGUGACCGCCGGAUGACGGGUAUUGUUGAUGUCAAUAUUAUAAGAUUAAUCUUGUCACAUU